rnacentral:snRNA from 1 species
AUCACUUCUCAGCCUUUUAGCUAAGAUCAAGUGUAGUAUCUGUUCUUAUCAGUUUAACAGAGAAACCUGUGGUCCAGGAGAUGCCCAGUGGAUAAAGCCUUGGACUCUCA